rnacentral:rRNA from 1 species
GUACACUCCUGCGGGAGGCAGCAGUGGGGAAUUUUGGACAAUGGGCGAAAGCCUGAUCCAGCAAUGCCGCGUGUGUGAAGAAGGCCUUCGGGUUGUAAAGCACUUUUGUCCGGAAAGAAAUACUUGGCUCUAAUACAGUCGGGGGAUGACGGUACCGGAAGAAUAAGCACCGGCUAACUACGUGCCAGCAGCCGCGGUAAUACGUAGGGUGCGAGCGUUAAUCGGAAUUACUGGGCGUAAAGCGUGCGCAGGCGGUUUGCUAAGACCGAUGUGAAAUCCCCGGGCUCAACCUGGGAACUGCAUUGGUGACUGGCAGGCUAGAGUAUGGCAGAGGGGGGUAGAAUUCCACGUGUAGCAGUGAAAGGCGUAGAGAUGUGGAGGAAUACCGAUGGCGAAGGCAGCCCCCUGGGCCAAUACUGACGCUCAUGCACGAAAGCGUGGGGAGCAAACAGGAUUAGAAACCCUGGUAGUCCCAUG